GCAGCCUCGAGGUGAGCCUGGCGGACACUGGCCACUUUCCAAGGACCUCAUUCCCACCUACACCGGGGUCCUUGAAGCGUGACCUCAGAUCACAGAGCAAUCUGGCUGGGCUUUACUCUUUGGUUCAGUGCCUGCUGUGUGGCUGUGUUUCAGGGGUGCUCUGGGUAUCACUCUGCUCCUGACCUCAGAAAAACUCUCACGAGACAACGUGACACCCUCAUAUCCUGGCAUCCUGGAGCUUGACUUUGAGCAGCAAGUCUUGAAUCCAUCACUGGCCUCUCGAAGUCACAAUUUCUCAGGAGCCGAGCGGGAUACUGGCCAGAUGUCGCAAUUCUGUCCCAUGACUGAUUUUCUCCUGGAGGAAGAGCCAUCACGUUUCAGCUCCAUCAUGAAACCGAUUGUCACAAAGCUGUGCCUUCUAAAUUCUGCCUUGGGUGCCCUCAGUAAUGCUCCUUUCUGGGGCUCUUUUCAGAGCCACC